rnacentral:rRNA from 1 species
UACGAAGGGGGCUAGCGUUGUUCGGAAUUACUGGGCGUAAAGCGCACGUAGGCGGAUACUUAAGUUAGGGGUGAAAUCCCAGAGCUCAACUCUGGAACUGCCUUUAAUACUGGGUAUCUCGAGUCCGGAAGAGGUGAGUGGAAUUCCGAGUGUAGAGGUGAAAAUUCGUAGAUAUUCGGAGGAACACCAGUGGCGAAGGCGGCUCACUGGUCCGGUACUGACGCUGAGGUGCGAAAGCGUGGGGAGCAAACAGG